CCUACGGGUGGCAGCAGUGGGGAAUAUUGCACAAUGGGGGAAACCCUGAUGCAGCGACGCCGCGUGAGCGAAGAAGUAUUUCGGUAUGUAAAGCUCUAUCAGCAGGGAAGAAAAUGACGGUACCUGACUAAGAAGCUCCGGCUAAAUACGUGCCAGCAGCCGCGGUAAUACGUAUGGAGCAAGCGUUAUCCGGAUUUACUGGGUGUAAAGGGAGCGCAGGCGGCUUUGCAAGUCUGAUGUGAAAGGCCGGGGCUCAACCCCGGGACUGCAUUGGAAACUGUAAAGCUAGAGUGCCGGAGAGGUAAGCGGAAUUCCUAGUGUAGCGGUGAAAUGCGUAGAUAUUAGGAGGAACACCAGUGGCGAAGGCGGCUUACUGGACGGCAACUGACGCUGAGGCUCGAAAGCGUGGGGAGCAAACAGGAUUAGAUACCCGAGUAG
rnacentral:rRNA from 1 species